AACGAACGCUGGCGGCAUGCCUAACACAUGCAAGUCGAACGAGACCUUCGGGUCUAGUGGCGCACGGGUGCGUAACGCGUGGGAAUCUGCCCUUGGGUUCGGAAUAACAGUGAGAAAUUACUGCUAAUACCGGAUGAUGUCUUCGGACCAAAGAUUUAUCGCCCAGGGAUGAGCCCGCGUAGGAUUAGCUAGUUGGUGGGGUAAUGGCCUACCAAGGCGACGAUCCUUAGCUGGUCUGAGAGGAUGAUCAGCCACACUGGGACUGAGACACGGCCCAGACUCCUACGGGAGGCAGCAGUGGGGAAUAUUGGACAGUGGGCGCAAGCCUGAUCCAGCAAUGCCGCGUGAGUGAUGAAGGCCUUAGGGUUGUAAAGCUCUUGUACCCGGGAUGAUAAUGACAGUACCGGGAGAAUAAGCUCCGGCUAACUCCGUG
rnacentral:rRNA from 1 species